rnacentral:rRNA from 1 species
UGAGGAAUAUUGGUCAAUGGACGCAAGUCUGAACCAGCCAUGCCGCGUGCAGGAAGACGGCUCUAUGAGUUGUAAACUGCUUUUGUAUUAGGGUAAACUCAGGUACGUGUACCUGACUGAAAGUAUAAUACGAAUAAGGAUCGGCUAACUCCGUGCCAGCAGCCGCGGUAAUACGGAGGAUCCAAGCGUUAUCCGGAUUUAUUGGGUUUAAAGGGUGCGUAGGCGGUUUGAUAAGUUAGAGGUGAAAUACCGGGGCUUAACUCCGGAACUGCCUCUAAUACUGUUGAACUAGAGAGUAGUUGCGGUAGGCGGAAUGUAUGGUGUAGCGGUGAAAUGCUUAGAGAUCAUACAGAACACCGAUUGCGAAGGCAGCUUACCAAACUAUAUCUGACGUUGAGGC